rnacentral:rRNA from 1 species
GGUAUCGGCGCAGCCUACACAUGCAAGUCGAGCGGUAGAGAGAAGCUUGCUUCUCUUGAGAGCGGCGGACGGGUGAGUAAUGCCUAGGAAUCUGCCUGGUAGUGGGGGAUAACGUUCGGAAACGGACGCUAAUACCGCAUACGUCCUACGGGAGAAAGCAGGGGACCUUCGGGCCUUGCGCUAUCAGAUGAGCCUAGGUCGGAUUAGCUAGUUGGUGGGGUAAUGGCUCACCAAGGCGACGAUCCGUAACUGGUCUGAGAGGAUGAUCAGUCACACUGGAACUGAAACACGGUCCAGAAUCUCUUCGGGAGGGAGGGAUGUGCGUAUUUGUGGGCCACGCGCGCAAUGCUCAUCCCUGUCGUGGCUGGGGUAGGUGAUGAUGGUCUUCGGAUUGUACAAGCACCUUUAGUUGGGAGGAAGGGUUGUAGCAUUUACUACUUCUGUACUUUUGACGUUACCGACAGAACCACGCCCCUGUCUUAUCUCUGUGCCAACAGCCGCGGUAAUACAGAGGGGUGCUAUGCGUUAAUCGGAAUUACUGGGACGUAAAGCGCGCGUACGUGGUGUGUUAAGUUGGAUGUGAAAUCCCCGGGGCUCAACCUGGGAACUGCAUUCAAAACUGAGUGACUAGAGUAUGGUAGAGGGUGGUGGAAUUUCCUGUGUAGCGGUGAAAUGCGUAUAUAUAUGAAGGAACAGCCGUGGCGAAAGCGACCACCUGGACUGAUACUCACACUGAGGUGCGAAAGCGUGGUGGAGCGAACAAGGAGGGGAUACCCUGGUAGUCCACGCCGUAAACAAUAUAUACUAGCCGUUUGGGAGCGUUGAGCUGAUAAUUGGCGCCCCUCACACAUUAAAUUUACCGCCUGGGGGGGUGAGGGCCGCCCCGUGGGGACUCCACAUGAAUUUACAGGGGCGCGCACAAACAGUGGAGCAGGUGGUUGUUUUUCUAAUCAUCACCAAGAACCUUACCACGCCCUUGGCUUCACACGAACUUUCUAGAAGAAAAAAUGGUGGCCGUGCUGCACAUUGAGACAGGUGCUGCAUGGCUGUCGUCAGCUCGUGUCUUGCGAUGUUGGGUUGAGUUGUGUUAAUCAAACAGAAACAAUUUUUCUUCAUUACUAACACGUUGAUGGUUGGUGUUGGCGUAGGCAACGACCGGGUGACAACACCGGAGGAAGGUGGGGAUGACGUCAAGUCAUCAUGGCCCUUACGGCCUGGGCUACACACGUGCUACAAUGGUCGGUACAGAGGGUUGCCAAGCCGCGAGGUGGAGCUAAUCCCAGAAAACCGAUCGUAGUCCGGAUCGCAGUCUGCAACUCGACUGCGUGAAGUCGGAAUCGCUAGUAAUCGCGAAUCAGAAUGUCGCGGUGAAUACGUUCCCGGGCCUUGUACACACCGCCCGUCACACCAUGGGAGUGGGUUGCACCAGAAGUAGCUAGUCUAACUUUCGGGAGGACGGUAUACAACGGUUGAUCGGUCGCGCC